rnacentral:rRNA from 1 species
UACGUAGGGUGCAAGCGUUGUCCGGAAUUAUUGGGCGUAAAGGGCUCGUAGGCGGUUUGUCGCGUCGGGAGUGAAAUCAUCUGGCUUAACUGGGUGCUUGCUUUCGAUACGGGCAGACUAGAGGUAUGCAGGGGAGAACGGAAUUCCUGGCGUAGCGGUGAAAUGCGCAGAUAUCAGGAGGAACACCGGUGGCGAAGGCGGUUCUCUGGGCAUGAUCUGACGCUGAGGAGCGAAAGUGUGGGGAGCGAACAGG